GAUGAACGCUGGCCUUGUGCCUAAUACAUGCAAGUCGAGCGAACGGACGAGAAGCUUGCUUCUCUGAUGUUAGCGGCGGACGGGUGAGUAACACGUGGAUAACCUACCUAUAAGACUGGGAUAACUUCGGGAAACCGGAGCUAAUACCGGAUAAUAUUUUGAACCGCAUGGUUCAAAAGUGAAAGACGGUCUUGCUGUCACUUAUAGAUGGAUCCGCGCUGCAUUAGCUAGUUGGUAAGGUAACGGCUUACCAAGGCAACGAUGCAUAGCCGACCUGAGAGGGUGAUCGGCCACACUGGAACUGAGACACGGUCCAGACUCCUACGGGAGGCAGCAGUAGGGAAUCUUCCGCAAUGGGCGAAAGCCUGACGGAGCAACGCCGCGUGAGUGAUGAAGGUCUUCGGAUCGUAAAACUCUGUUAUUAGGGAAGAACAUAUGUGUAAGUAACUGUGCACAUCUUGACGGUACCUAAUCAGAAAGCCACGGCUAACUACGUGCCAGCAGCCGCGGUAAUACGUAGGCGGCAAGCGUUAUCCGGAAUUAUUGGGCGUAAAGCGCGCGUAGGCGGUUUUUUAAGUCUGAUGUGAAAGCCCACGGCUCAACCGUGGAGGGUCAUUGGAAACUGGAAAACUUGAGUGCAGAAGAGGAAAGUGGAAUUCCAUGUGUAGCGGUGAAAUGCGCAGAGAUAUGGAGGAACACCAGUGGCGAAGGCGACUUUCUGGUCUGUAACUGACGCUGAUGUGCGAAAGCGUGGGGAUCAAACAGGAUUAGAUACCCUGGUAGUCCACGCCGUAAACGAUGAGUGCUAAGUGUUAGGGGGUUUCCGCCCCUUAGUGCUGCAGCUAACGCAUUAAGCACUCCGCCUGGGGAGUACGACCGCAAGGUUGAAACUCAAAGGAAUUGACGGGGACCCGCACAAGCGGUGGAGCAUGUGGUUUAAUUCGAAGCAACGCGAAGAACCUUACCAAAUCUUGACAUCCUUUGACAACUCUAGAGAUAGAGCCUUCCCCUUCGGGGGACAAAGUGACAGGUGGUGCAUGGUUGUCGUCAGCUCGUGUCGUGAGAUGUUGGGUUAAGUCCCGCAACGAGCGCAACCCUUAAGCUUAGUUGCCAUCAUUAAGUUGGGCACUCUAAGUUGACUGCCGGUGACAAACCGGAGGAAGGUGGGGAUGACGUCAAAUCAUCAUGCCCCUUAUGAUUUGGGCUACACACGUGCUACAAUGGACAAUACAAAGGGCAGCGAAACCGCGAGGUCAAGCAAAUCCCAUAAAGUUGUUCUCAGUUCGGAUUGUAGUCUGCAACUCGACUACAUGAAGCUGGAAUCGCUAGUAAUCGUAGAUCAGCAUGCUACGGUGAAUACGUUCCCGGGUCU
rnacentral:rRNA from 1 species